CCCAGGACUUACGUCCUGGGCUACUAUCAAUCGCCCCUCCGGGGCU
rnacentral:sRNA from 1 species